GAAAUCAAGAAUGGGUGGAACCUGUUACAGUAAUGCUAGGCGACCCAUACUUGGUUUCAA
rnacentral:pre_miRNA from 1 species